rnacentral:rRNA from 1 species
UACGAAGGGGGCUAGCGUUGCUCGGAAUUACUGGGCGUAAAGCGUGCGCAGGCGGUGGCUCAAGCCAGGCGUGAAAUCCCCGGGCUUAACCUGGGAAUGGCGUUUGGGACUGGGUCGCUAGAGUGUGGCAGAGGGAGGUGGAAUUCCACGUGUAGCAGUGAAAUGCGUAGAGAUGUGGAGGAACACCGAUGGCGAAGGCAGCCUCCUGGGCCAGCACUGACGCUCAUGCACGAAAGCGUGGGGAGCAAACAGG